CCACUCUCAGCUUCCAGCUUCUGUCACCAUACCUGAAGCUUGCUGCCACACUACCCUACCAUGAUGAACGCUGACCCCUGGAAACAUUAAGCCAAGCUCCCGACCUCUUCCCAAGUCUUCAGUUCCCCUUCUACUUUCAAGUCUUCGUGUUGAUGUUGUCAUCCAGAGCUGCUGUGAGCGUGUGCAUUCAACAGACACUUCAGACCUGGAAGACAGAGUACCCAACUUCACGUCUGGAGAGCUGUGCCUGGAUGUGUGUGCCGCUCUAACAGGAGAUUCGAGAAUGGGUCUUUUAUCCGGAGCACCGCUGUAUUGGAGGACACAAUUAGAGGCCACAAUGCUAAUGACUGUAGAUUCUUGAACCCUUUUCAGAAGCCAAACCUAGAAUGGCAGCGAAAGUGAGACAGCGAAAGAGAGGAGCUGGACCCGUCUUUUACGGGAGUCCCAUUCCUGCAAUCCCAGCAAUGACCCCGUCCCUCUGGCUCUUUGGCUCUUCUUCGUAGAUGUCGCCUCCCUUCCCAGUACCACUGCAUUGGGAAUCAGGGUUGCAACUCGUGAAUCUGAGGACGCACAGUCAUGUAACAAGUUAAGCCUUUGUGUUUAUAAAGAGUGUAUGCCAUUUUCUAGGGUUGUUUAUUGGCAUUAUUCAAAAUGAAAUG